rnacentral:rRNA from 1 species
AAUGAACGCUGGCGGCAGGCCUAACACAUGCAAGUUGAGCGGAGCGGUGGACGGGUGAGUAAUGCCAAGGAAUCUGCCUGGUAGUGGGGGAUAACGUCCGGAAACGGGCGCUAAUACCGCAUACUAUCAGAUGAGCCUAGGUCGGAUUAGCUAGUUGGUGGGGUAAGGCCUACCAAGGCGACGAUCCGUAACUGGUCGGAGCGGACGAUCACUCACACUGGAACUGAGACACGGUCCAGACUCCUACGGGGGGCAGCAGUAGGGAAUAUUGGACAGUGGGCGAAAGCCUGAUCCAGCCAUGCCGCGUAUGUAAAGAAGGUCUUCGGAUUGUAAGGCACUUUAAGUUGGGGGGCGAGACCAACAGGAUAAGCACCGGCGAACUGCGUGCCAGCAGCCGCGGUAAUUA